rnacentral:rRNA from 1 species
UACGUAGGGGGCAAGCGUUGUCCGGAUUUAUUGGGCGUAAAGAGCGUGUAGGCGGUCUGGUAGGUCCGUUGUGAAAACUCGAGGCUCAACCUCGAGACGCCGAUGGAAACCCUCAGACUAGAGUCCGGAAGAGGAGAGUGGAAUUCCUGGUGUAGCGGCGAAAUGCGCAGAUAUCAGGAAGAACCCCCGUGGCUAAGGCGGCUCUCUAGUACGGUACUGACGCUGAGACGCGAAAGCGUGGGGAGCGAACAGG